rnacentral:rRNA from 1 species
GACGAACGCUGGCGGCGUGCUUAACACAUGCGAGUCGAACGGAAAGGCCCUGCUUGCAGGGUACUCGAGUGGCGAACGGGUGAGUAACACGUGGGUGAUCUGCCCUGCACUUCGGGAUAAGCUUGGGAAACUGGGUCUAAUACCGGAUAGGAGCCAUCUUUAGUGUGGUGGUUGGAAAGUUUUUUCGGUGUAGGAUGAGCUCGCGGCCUUUCAGCUUGUGGGUGGGGUAUUGGCCUACCAGGGCGGCGACGGGUAGCCGGCCUGAGAGGGUGUACGGCCACAUUGGGACUGAGAUACGGCCCAGACUCCUACGGGAGGCAGCAGUGGGGAAUAUUGCACAAUGGGCGCAAGCCUGAUGCAGCGACGCCGCGUGGGGGAUGAAGGCCUUCGGGUUGUAAACUCCUUUCGCUAGGGACGAAGCUUUGUUGUGACGGUACCUAGAUAAGAAGCACCGGCUAACUACGUG